AUAAAUGUGGGGAAAAAUACUCGUCUUAUGAUUCUUUUAUUUUAUUUUAUUUCUUAUUUUUGUAGAUUAAGCUUGAUGAAUCCUACAACCUGUUAAUAGAUGCGAGCAAGAUUACCAGGCGGCGCCGGACUUGGACUUGUUGCUGCAUUAUUUUACUCCGACAGAUCUGGUAGCACACUCGACAGCAAUAGGAUUGAGAUCGUCAAUACUAUACAGCUAAUUCAAGAAUACUUACAAAAGCAGUUCAAAUGUGAUAAUGCCACACCCCUCAUAAAAAGAAAAUGCCUGGACAUUGCCAGAAGCCCGAAAUUGAUUGAUUCAGUGUUACAUUGAAUUUAAAGGACGUGUAUUAGACUUGAAAUCUGCACAAUGGACUUUUCCUUGUUGUGCCGACAUUUCUUAAAUGUGAACUGUAGCACACUCGUGCUUGUUGCUCCAAUGGAAGCAGCCAUUUCGGGCAUAGUAAGAUCCAGAUUGGACCAGAAACAAUUUUUGUUCCGGAAUUUAAAAGCAGUCGGGGGUUUUGAGUCCAGGUCGGUCGGGCAACGGGAAACGGACAUAAACUUGAAGAAACAGGCUUUAGAGGAAUACACCAAAAAAUGUGAAAGAAAAUUGUAUUUAUGACAUAAUACAUUUUGAUGUAUGCUUUCAUCAUUUUGUUGAUGGCAGUGAUCAACUGUUGAAUGUUCAAGUCCAGUUUUAUAUUUUUUAAACAAUGUUGUAGAAUAAGCAGCAAAAAGAAUGUGCAUUUACCUGAUCAUGUACCAUUUGCUUUUCAACUUUCUAUGUAUGUGUUUUUUGCUUCAUUCUAUUUUGUACAAUUCAUGAGUUUGCAUAGAACAUGAGUUUACACACAUGUGGAAAUUUGUUUUAUUGGUAUUUCAAAUGCCAAGUACAAAAUAAUUUGACUUGUAGUGGGUUGUGAAAACAAAAAAUUGAUUCUAUUUUUCUUUAUUGUUAUAUUUGUAUUUCAUUACAUUGUCAACAAAAUUUCAUUAAUCAGUUUUCCUGUUAAUAGUAAAUAAUUAAAAAAAAAAAGAAAAGAUUUUUCAAUGGAGUUUUAAUGUAUAUUUAUGAGCUAUUAUUUAUUUUUCCAUUGAUUUUACAGUUAAUUUUGAUGUCAUUUAACUGGCUCAAGCUCAUUUACAUAUUUCGCUUAUUUCAAUGAAGUUUCAAUUGAGUCUCAAUGGAGUUUCACUGCAUUUUCAAUGAAAACUGGAAAAUCACUGGCUCAAGCUCAUUUACAUAAUUCGCGUAUUUCAAUGAGGUUUCAAUUGAGUCUCAAUGGAGUUUCACUGCAUUUUCAAUGAAAACUGGAAAAUCAAUGCUUUUUCUAGGUUAGAAUUGUAUUGCUAGUUUUAUUUGAAUUUGUGAUACUGGUAUAACACUGUUCUUUCAAUGGUCAGAAUAAAACUACAAAAGUAAUGGAAAUUUAA